AUUCGGUUUCAAACGGCCGAAGGGGCCGUCGCUUGUGAUCGCUUCCGUGGAAGGCGACCGACCUCCCAGAGCUUAGGGAAGACGACGGGAGGGGGUUAUAGGAACAGAGAGUUCGGAUUUCAGAUCUCUUCGUUCCUCAUCGGAUAGUCGAUUGAGUCACACUACAGAUCUGCUAAACAUUACGGAAUUGGUAUGGAAGUCUCAGAUGAAAGUGAAAUUACGAAUGCGAUGGCUAUUUUAUCAUCAAUCCCUUAUGAUGAAUGGUUUUCAGUUUCAACUUCAGGCUAGCGGCCAUCAGCUCGCUACAAGGUGACGGACGCUGGGGAUGUGACGCUCCUAUUGACCGUGCGUGGACCUCCG